rnacentral:rRNA from 1 species
AUGGCAUUGCCCGGUAGCUAAAUGCGGAAGAGAUAAGUGCUGAAAGCAUCUAAGCACGAAACUUGCCCCGAGAUGAGUUCUCCCUGACCCUUUAAGGGUCCUGAAGGAACGUUGAAGACGACGACGUUGAUAGGCCGGGUGUGUAAGCGCAGCGAUGCGUUGAGCUAACCGGUACUAAUGAACCGUGAGGCUUAACCUUAC